GACGAACGCUGGCGGCGUGCUUAACACAUGCAAGUCGAACGAGAAUCACCGGAAAGAGGAUUCGUCCAAUGGAAGGUGAGGAAAGUGGCGGACGGGUGAGUAACGCGUGAGGAACCUGCCUUGGAGAGGGGGACAACAGCUGGAAACGGCUGCUAAUACCGCAUAACAUAUCUGAAUCGCAUGGUUUGGAUAUCAAAGAUUUAUCGCUCUGAGAUGGCCUCGCGUCUGAUUAGCUGGUUGGCGGGGUAACGGCCCACCAAGGCGACGAUCAGUAGCCGGACUGAGAGGUUGAACGGCCACAUUGGGACUGAGAUACGGCCCAGACUCCUACGGGAGGCAGCAGUGGGGAAUAUUGGGCAAUGGGCGCAAGCCUGACCCAGCAACGCCGCGUGAAGGAAGAAGGCUUUCGGGUUGUAAACUUCUUUUAAGGGGGAAGAGGAGAAGACGGUACCCCUAGAAUAAGCCACGGCUAACUACGUGCCAGCAGCCGCGGUAAUACGUAGGUGGCAAGCGUUGUCCGGAUUUACUGGGUGUAAAGGGCGUGUAGCCGGGUCUGCAAGUCAGAUGUGAAAUCCAUGGGCUUAACCCAUGAACUGCAUUUGAAACUGUGGAUCUUGAGUGCUGGAGGGGCAAUCGGAACUCCUAGUGUAGCGGUGAAAUGCGUAGAUAUUAGGAGGAACACCAGUGGCGAAGGCGGAUUGCUGGACAGUAACUGACGGUGAGGCGCG
rnacentral:rRNA from 1 species